GGGCAUCUGCUGACAUGGGGGCCGAAGUCAGGCGUCAGGCAGUGGGUACUUUGCAUCUUAUCUCCAGGAACAUCGAUCCUCCUUGACAGCCUUGGGUGUCAG
rnacentral:pre_miRNA from 1 species